rnacentral:rRNA from 1 species
GAUGAACGCUGGCGGCGUGCUUAACACAUGCAAGUCGAACGGAAAGGCCCAAGCUUGCUUGGGUACUCGAGUGGCGAACGGGUGAGUAACACGUGGGUGAUCUGCCCUGCACUUCGGGAUAAGCCUGGGAAACUGGGUCUAAUACCGGAUAGGACGAUGGUUUGGAUGCCAUUGUGGAAAGUUUUUCGGUGUGGGAUGAGCUCGCGGCCUAUCAGCUUGUUGGUGGGGUAAUGGCCUACCAAGGCGUCGACGGGUAGCCGGCCUGAGAGGGUGUACGGCCACAUUGGGACUGAGAUACGGCCCAGACUCCUACGGGAGGCAGCAGUGGGGAAUAUUGCACAAUGGGCGCAAGCCUGAUGCAGCGACGCCGCGUGGGGGAUGACGGCCUUCGGGUUGUAAACUCCUGUCGCUAGGGACGAAGCGUUUUUGUGACGGUACCUGGAGAAGAAGCACCGGCUAACUACGUG